rnacentral:misc_RNA from 1 species
AUUUAUUAUUUUUUUGUAUUAACACACCUAUUACUUGAUUAAAAGUGAUUAUAUUGAUGUGCACAACACAAUGAUAAUUUACAAAAAUGCAAGAUUAGAAAAUUCUUAUUGAUGUAUUAUACAUGGGGAUGUUCAUGACAAAAGAAAGGUGAUGUGCAUACUACAUUUAGUUUCCUGGGGAAAACUUACACUAAUUAACAAUGAAAUAUUUAUGUAUAUAUUUUAGGUUAUACAUAGAAUAUUUAAUGAAGAUAUACAUAUAAUAUAUGUCUACAACUUUUCCACAAAUCUUUACCCCCCAAAACAGAAAAAAAGAAUCAAUUUAAGCUCUAAACUGCAUGGGAACGGGAAAAAACAAAAACUCUAGUUAUGCCUGAUUAAAGCACAGCUAAUGCCAUGGACCGAUCGAAGCUGCCCUUCAAAGCUCUUGCCCUAGGUGGCCUUUUCUUGAUUGCCUUCUCCACCUCCGUCCCUGACAUGCUUUUCCCAAAUGGAAGGUGCACAGACGCUGCCGCUUGCAUCACUCCAUCUUUAGCUGCACCGCUAUGAAUGAGCACCCUGGUGAUCCCCACAUAGUGCAAGGACUCAGCAAUUUGUAAAGCAGUCACACCCUUAUUUGUCCUAGCUUCAACGUCUGCACCUUUCUUCACCAACAAUUCAAUCACAUCUGCGUGGCCUGAUUCCACUGCGCAAUGUAAUGCAGUGUAUCCAUCUUCAUCUUUAGCAUCAAUGUCUAUUCCCUUAUCGAGCAAAGCCCGAACUGCGUCUAUUUUGCCCUUGAAUGCUGCUCUAUGCAAUGCAGUCCACCCGUGCUGGUCGCGGCCAUUGAUAGCUGCUCCAUUUUCAAUCAAUUUCAGGAUAGUUCUUACCUCUCCUUUUCUAGCUGCGAUGCAUAAACUGUCACCCAAUUUCAAUGAAUCGAAAAGGCGGGUAUGGCCAUAUUCUGCAGCAACGUCGUAGGCUGUUUUGCCACUCUUGUUGCGGAUAUCUUUAUUUGCACCCUUUUGUAGUAGCAGUUUGACCAUGCUUUCGUCUCCUAGCUUUGCAGCUAUGUGCAAGGGCGUGUCUCCAUCGGUAGUGUCUCUGAUAGCGGCUUUAGCUCCACUAGCUAAUAGAAGACGAGUACAAUCACGCCUCCGCUCUUCGACGGCCAGGUGCAGAGCUGUAUUACCAUCUUUAGUGAGUGCAUCGACAUUAGCUCCUUUAAGUAAAAGAAGCCUCAAGACCUCCAAAUGGCCGCCUCCAGCCGCAAGGUGGAUUGGACCCCAAGUGGAGGACUCUGACCUUUCUGCGCUGGCUCGACGAGCUAAUAGAAGCUCAACUAUCAAGGCUUCACCGGCCCCUGCAGCAGCCUCCAGCGGGGUAGACCCUGAACGGCUUUGACGCUCCACGUCUGGCUCGAAUUCAAGAAGUAACUGGACAAUAUCUGGGCGGCCUUGAGCUAUAGCUAUAUGAAGCAAUGUUUGUCCAUGAGAAUCCACUGAAUCAGCUGGGUUCCAAGCUUGGUCACUACGUUCAAGCACUUCUCUUAUUUCAUCCAUAGCCCCAUCCGCAACUAGUUGAGCAAGAACUUGUGAGCCAACAAACAUGAUCUUGAUACCGCUAUCUAUAAACACUUGUUUCUUCUUUGCUGUGAACCAAUCAGGAGGAACGGCAUCAAAAUUGGAAGUGGGAUCUUUGAUCGAAGCACCAGGAACCACCACACUAUGCAAUAGAAAAGCAUCCUCGCAGUGAGGAAACGUGUCCGGGAGAAAAGACCCAGGAGGAAGAUGAUAGGUAAUCUCUAUAGUUAGAGUUGCAAGAGGAGAUAUAAUUCCAGACUGUGGCUUGAUGGUAUAUCGGGUCUUGUUCAUGGCCUGAAUCCUGAAAGCCACAGGCAUGGUGUACAUAACAUUUCGUAGAGUGAGCACUCCAUAGCAUUUCUGUCCAGGCUCGAUCCUGAUGGCCAAAAGAUUGGAUGGCUCCAAGCUUAUGAGCCUGUCCAUUUUGUUUUCUUGGGAACCAAACAACCAAACCUAAAGAAUUCUUGAUUCUUGAGAUGGAUUAGUUAUGAGGUAGAGGGAAAGGCAGCGGCCAUGAAAAGAAAAGGGGAAUGAGAAGUGAAGAAGAAGAAUGACAAGGUGUAUUAUAAGGAGAGGAAAGGUGUGCCGGCACUAGUGAGAGAGAGCCAAGUGGUGGUGUUAAAAACAAGGAUGACUUGUUCUAUUCGGCGUCUUAACUGCAAGAAGGCAAAUUCUUGUUAUACAAGUUAAAUGAAAACAUUUAUUUUAUUUUUUUUUUAUUUCUCUUUUUUUUUUUUGUUU